rnacentral:tRNA from 1 species
GCGCCCUUAGCUCAGCUGGAUAGAGCGUUGGCCUCCGACGCCAAAGGUCAGAGGUUCGAAUCCUCUAGGGCGCG